UACAGAGGGUGCGAACGUUGCUCGGAAUUACUGGGCGUAAAGCGCGUGUAGGCGGGAUCGCAAGUCAGAUGUGAAAUCCCCGGACUCAACCCGAGAACUGCAUCUGAAACUGCGAUCCUUGAGUGCCGGAGAAGGUGGCGGAAUUCUUGAUGUAGAGGUGAAAUUCGUAGAUAUCAGGAAGAACACCGAUGGCGAAGACGACCACCUGGACAGCUACUGACGCUGAGACGCGAAAGCGUGGGGAGCAAACAGG
rnacentral:rRNA from 1 species